rnacentral:rRNA from 10 species
AGAGUUUGAUCAUGGCUCAGAUUGAACGCUGGCGGCAGGCCUAACACAUGCAAGUCGAACGGUAACAGGAAGCAGCUUGCUGCUUUGCUGACGAGUGGCGGACGGGUGAGUAAUGUCUGGGAAACUGCCUGAUGGAGGGGGAUAACUACUGGAAACGGUAGCUAAUACCGCAUAACGUCGCAAGACCAAAGAGGGGGACCUUCGGGCCUCUUGCCAUCGGAUGUGCCCAGAUGGGAUUAGCUAGUAGGUGGGGUAACGGCUCACCUAGGCGACGAUCCCUAGCUGGUCUGAGAGGAUGACCAGCCACACUGGAACUGAGACACGGUCCAGACUCCUACGGGAGGCAGCAGUGGGGAAUAUUGCACAAUGGGCGCAAGCCUGAUGCAGCCAUGCCGCGUGUAUGAAGAAGGCCUUCGGGUUGUAAAGUACUUUCAGCGGGGAGGAAGGGAGUAAAGUUAAUACCUUUGCUCAUUGACGUUACCCGCAGAAGAAGCACCGGCUAACUCCGUGCCAGCAGCCGCGGUAAUACGGAGGGUGCAAGCGUUAAUCGGAAUUACUGGGCGUAAAGCGCACGCAGGCGGUUUGUUAAGUCAGAUGUGAAAUCCCCGGGCUCAACCUGGGAACUGCAUCUGAUACUGGCAAGCUUGAGUCUCGUAGAGGGGGGUAGAAUUCCAGGUGUAGCGGUGAAAUGCGUAGAGAUCUGGAGGAAUACCGGUGGCGAAGGCGGCCCCCUGGACGAAGACUGACGCUCAGGUGCGAAAGCGUGGGGAGCAAACAGGAUUAGAUACCCUGGUAGUCCACGCCGUAAACGAUGUCGACUUGGAGGUUGUGCCCUUGAGGCGUGGCUUCCGGAGCUAACGUGUUAAGUCGACCGCCUGGGGAGUACGGCCGCAAGGUUAAAACUCAAAUGAAUUGACGGGGGCCCGCACAAGCGGUGGAGCAUGUGGUUUAAUUCGAUGCAACGCGAAGAACCUUACCUGGUCUUGACAUCCACGGAAGUUUUCAGAGAUGAGAAUGUGCCUUCGGGAACCGUGAGACAGGUGCUGCAUGGCUGUCGUCAGCUCGUGUUGUGAAAUGUUGGGUUAAGUCCCGCAACGAGCGCAACCCUUAUCCUUUGUUGCCAGCGGUCCGGCCGGGAACUCAAAGGAGACUGCCAGUGAUAAACUGGAGGAAGGUGGGGAUGACGUCAAGUCAUCAUGGCCCUUACGACCAGGGCUACACACGUGCUACAAUGGCGCAUACAAAGAGAAGCGACCUCGCGAGAGCAAGCGGACCUCAUAAAGUGCGUCGUAGUCCGGAUUGGAGUCUGCAACUCGACUCCAUGAAGUCGGAAUCGCUAGUAAUCGUGGAUCAGAAUGCCACGGUGAAUACGUUCCCGGGCCUUGUACACACCGCCCGUCACACCAUGGGAGUGGGUUGCAAAAGAAGUAGGUAGCUUAACCUUCGGGAGGGCGCUUACCACUUUGUGAUUCAUGACUGGGGUGAAGUCGUAACAAGGUAACCGUAGGGGAACCUGCGGUUGGAUCACCU